AGAGAGAGACAUGCGCGCAUAUCAAUAAGCGGAGGAAAAGAAACUAACAAGGAUUUCCCUAGUAACGGCGAGUGAAGCGGGAAGAGCUCAAAUUUGAAAUCUUAAAGGGUUUCCCUUUACGAAUUGUAGUUUAAAGAAGUGUUUUCUGUUGAGGUUUUGGUAAAAGUUCUUUGGAAUAGGACAUCAUAGAGGGUGAGAAUCCCGUAUUUGACCUUUACUUUCAACUUUGUGAUACACUUUCAAAGAGUCGGAUUGUUUGGGAAUGCAGUCCAAAAUGGGUGGUAAAUUUCAUCUAAAGCUAAAUAUUGGCGAGAGACCGAUAGCGAACAAGUACCGUGAGGGAAAGAUGAAAAGAACUUUGAAAAGAGAGUUAAACAGUACGUGAAAUUGUCAAAAGAGAAGCGUUUGACACCAGUGUUGUUUUUCUGAAAAUCAAUUAAAGAACUGUUUAUGCUAAGUUGUUUAGACUUUAUCAGCUAACUGUUUAGUUUUGAGCUUUUCUUUAAUGCACUUUUCAGUUAACAAGUCAACAUCAAUUCCUUUUGCUGUAAAAAAGCUUGAGGAAGGUGGCUUGAGAUCCGUCUUAAGUGUUUAUAGCCUCUUGCCUAUGCAGUCGGAGAGAUUGAGGUCUGCAGCGUAGAUCCUUCGGGGCUAAAUGCAUUUGUGCUAAGUUAUAGCAUUUUAUAGACAACUUGUUGACUAUGAUUUGUCUUGUAGCUUACUCGCUUAUGUUAUUUUACCUACGCUUAGGAUGUUGACGCAUGAGAUAUACGC
rnacentral:rRNA from 1 species